CAUCAGCCCUCCUCCAGCACUUCUCACCGUAAAGCGAAAGUGAAACCGCAGAGGAUUUAAACGCAGUGCUUUUGUUCUCGUCCAUCACGACCUCGGACAAACGCCUUCAUCUGGGAAUAUUUCGACAUAACCGAGUCUCCGGGACCAGAUUUCACACAGGAGAUGAAGCUUCUUACCGAUGAAGAGCGGCUGAAGAAACGGCCCAUCAUCGGCCCAAAACUCUCCAUCCGACCACUUCAUUCCGGCAAUGGAUUUCUUCACUUAUAAUGUUUUAUUUUAUUUUAUUGCAUUUACUUGAUGCUUUUAUCCAAAGUGAGCUGAUGAAUGAGAUUCUAAUGAUCUCUAGUUUGUUUCCUCACAAAAAGAAAUACAAUAAAAAGCUUUUUGUUUUCUGAAUAAUGA